UGAUGGCGAGUGGCGAACGGGUGAGUAAUAUAUCGGAACGUGCCCAGUAAUGGGGAACAACUAAUUGAAAGAUUAGCUAAUACCGCAUACGACCUACGGGUGAAAGCAGGGGAUCUUCGGACCUUGCGUUAUUGGAGCGGCCGAUAUCUGAUUAGCUUGUUGGUAGGGUAAAAGCCUACCAAGCCGACGAUCAGUAGCUGGUCUGAGAGGACGAUCAGCCACACUGGAACUGAGACACGGUCCAGACUCC
rnacentral:rRNA from 1 species